UGAGGAAUAUUGCGCAAUGGGCGAAAGCCUGACGCAGCGACGCCGCGUGGGUGAUGAAGGUCUUCGGAUCGUAAAGCCCUUUUCUGCGUGACGAGACAAGGACGGUAGCGCAGGAAUAAGUCUCGGCUAACUACGUGCCAGCAGCCGCGGUAAGACGUAGGAGGCAAGCGUUAUCCGGAGUUACUGGGCGUAAAGAGUGCGUAGGCGGACUGGUAAGUAGUUCGUGAAAUUGCUCGGCUAAACCGGGCGACGGCGAGCUAGACUGCAAGUCUAGAGGCAGGUAGAGGGGUGCGGAAUUCCGGGUGUAGCGGUGAAAUGUGUAGAUAUCCGGAGGAACACCAGAGGUGCAGACGGCGCCCUGGGCCUGACCUGACGCUGAGGCACGAAAGCUUGGGGAGCGAACGGGAUUAGAGACCCCGGUAGUCCAAGCCGUAAACGAUGUCAACUAGGUGUUCACUUGCCUACGGGC
rnacentral:rRNA from 1 species